rnacentral:rRNA from 1 species
UACGAAGGGGGCUAGCGUUGCUCGGAAUCACUGGGCGUAAAGGGUGCGUAGGCGGGUCUUUAAGUCAGGGGUGAAAUCCUGGAGCUCAACUCCAGAACUGCCUUUGAUACUGAAGAUCUUGAGUUCGGGAGAGGUGAGUGGAACUGCGAGUGUAGAGGUGAAAUUCGUAGAUAUCGCAAGAACACCAGUGGCGAAGGCGGCUCACUGGCCCGAUACUGACGCUGACUGGCACGAAAGCGUGGGGGAGCAAACAGG